CCUACGGGUGGCAGCAGUGAGGAAUAUUGGGCAAUGGCGGCAACUCUGACCCAGCCAUGCCGCGUGAGUGAAGAAGGUUUUCGGCUUGUAAAGCUCUUUCGGAUGUGACGAUGAUGACGGUAGCAUCUCAAUCAGCCCCGGCUAACUUCGUGCCAGCAGCCGCGGUAAUACGGAGGGGGCAAGCGUUGUACGGAAUUACUGGGCGUAAAGGGAGUGUAGGCGGUUUAAUAAGAUAGUGGUGAAAUCCCAGAGCUUAACUUUGGAAUUGCCGUUAUAACUAGUAGACUAGAAUUACAGAGAGGAUAGUGGAAUACCCAGUGUAGAGGUGAAAUGCGUAGAUAUUGGGUAGAACACCAGUGGCGAAGGCGACUAUCUGGCUGGACAUUGACGCUGAGGCUCGAAAGCAUGGGGAGCAAACAGGAUUAGAUACCCUAGUAGUC
rnacentral:rRNA from 1 species